UACGGGGGGGAGCAAGCGUUGUUCGGAUUUACUGGGCGUAAAGGGCGCGUAGGCGGCCACGACAAGUCAGUUGUGAAAUCUCUGGGCUUAACUCAGAACGGUCAACUGAUACUGUCGGGCUAGAGUGCAGAAGGGGCAACUGGAAUUCUCGGUGUAGCGGUGAAAUGCGUAGAUAUCGAGAGGAACACCUGCGGCGAAGGCGGGUUGCUGGGCUGACACUGACGCUGAGGCGCGAAAGCUAGGGGAGCGAACGGG
rnacentral:rRNA from 1 species